CGACCCCUGGGAUAUGUGUUCCCACUCCCUAGCAGCAAGGGAAGAAUGAGUGGCUUUUCUGUGCUAGCAGAACAUCUCACUCCUCAGAUUUUGACUUCUCUUGCCUCUUCUUGUCGGUGUUGGACACGGCCAUCAGUAGACACAGUUCUGAGCAAUCACCGAGGAAGGUCAGAGAAAUGCCCCUUUUCCCUCCGCUUUCUUUUUCAGUCUGGAAGCCGUCAGCAAGGCCUCAUGCAUCCCUCUGUUUGAAUUCCUACAAAGAUGGAGUUUGAACCUUUUCAGACCUUUAGUAGCUAAUAAUAACUGGGACACUG
rnacentral:lncRNA from 1 species